rnacentral:rRNA from 1 species
GACGAACGCUGGCGGCGUGCCUAAUACAUGCAAGUCGAACGCACUGUCGUUUAGUUUGAAGGAUUUUGCUCCGGAUUGAUGAACAUUUAAAUGAGUGUCGCACGCGUUUGUAACACGUGUAUAACCUGCCCUAUGGGGGGAGAUCACGUUUGGAAAUAGUUGCUCAUACCGCGUAAUGGCUAACACCGCAUGGUGUGGGGUUGAAAGAGGGUUUCGACUAUCACUGUAGGAUGGACCCGCGGUGCAUUAGUUAGUUGGUGGGGUAAAGGCUCACCAAGACCGUGAUGCAUAGCCGAACUGAGAGGGUAAUCGGCCACACUGGGACUGAGACACGGCCCAGACUCCUACGGGAGGCAGCAGUAGGGAAUCUUACACAAUGGACGAAAGUCUGAUGGAGCAACGCCGCGUGAGUGAAGAAGGUUUUCGGAUCGUAAAACUCUGUUGUUGGAGAAGAAUGUAUCUGAUAGUAACUGAUCAGGUAGUGACGGUAUCCAACCAGAAAGCAACGGCUAACUACGUG